rnacentral:rRNA from 1 species
GACGAACGCUGGCGGCGUGCUUAACACAUGCAAGUCGAACGGAAAGGCCCUGCUUGCAGGGUACUCGAGUGGCGAACGGGUGAGUAACACGUGGGUGAUCUGCCCUGCACUUCGGGAUAAGCCUGGGAAACUGGGUCUAAUACCGGAUAGGAGCCAUUUUUAGUGUGAUGGUUGGAAAGUUUUUUCGGUGUAAGAUGAGCUCGCGGCCUAUCAGCUUGUUGGUGGGGUAAUGGCCUACCAAGGCGGCGAGGGGUAGCCGGCCUGAGAGGGUGGACGGCCACAUGGGGACUGAGAUAGGGCCCAGACGCCUACGUGAGGCAGCAGUGGGAAAUAUUGCACAAUGGGCGCAAGCCUGAUGCAGCGACGCCGCGUGGGGGAUGACGGCCUUCGGGUUGUAAACUCCUUUCGCUAGGGACGAAGCUUUUGUGACGGUACCUAGAUAAGAAGCACCGGCUAACUACGUG